UUCCUUAUUUCAUGGAUUGAAGGAACCCAUAUCUUGCCAUUAUAUCAGAACCAGCAAUUUAUGGCUUCUCCUUGCCCUCUGAGGCAGGAAUGCUGGCUGCUACAAUCCUGGUUUGAAGGGAAGAGGUUUGCUAGUUCAAACCAUUGAAGUAACUCAGUGGAAUGCACAAGGAGCAAUGGAAGCAAGAGGAGAAGCCAGCUUAGGAGCGAGCUAUUUAAGAUGAUACCAUGCUGAGUGUAUACCACGAAGCAACAGAUGCUACAGAAGGCCCUUUCUGAAGUGUGUGGUAGCUUUUGAGACAUCAUGGGAUUGAACAGAAUGCUGCCAAAAAGUCUUAAUGAUGUCGCUCAAGAUGUCCCUGUAGGGAUGAUGGAAGAUCAAAUCAGCACAAAGCCUAGAGUGGAAAGCAAACCAGAAUCACUUCCUAAUGUUUCUCACGCUGGGUCCGAGGAGUAGGCUGCUUAAAUUCGAGAAUGAUUUUUGAGGGGAUAAAGUGUACAAGAUUUUUGAAUUCUUGCCAUAAGUCCUUGGCAGUCGGCCAGGAAGCCUCAGAGGAGUAAAGCUAAUGAAGGGAGGGUAAAGAAGAUCUAGAGUAUGUGGCUGGUAAUGCAGUAUUCAUUUAAUUGGGAGCAGGUAUCGGUGCAAACUUCUCCAUUUUAAUUGGAAAAAGGAAUGGGGGGAGUUGUUAAGGGAGAAGAAGGGGGGAAAGAAUGCAUAAAGUUUUCAAGCUGAGGAGCCAAAAGAAGGCCUGUAUAUGGCAGAGAAAGAACUCAAUUUAGGGCAAUUUGCACUGCAAGCUGGGCUGCUGUCUCCCCUGGGGAUGAGGAUGAGAGAGAAAAUGGAACCAAAAGAGAACUUGAUAAAAUCACCUAGCACAGACAAUCUCAGCAGAAUAGGUUUUUUACUGAGUUAAAUCUGCCCCAAUCAAUGUGAUUCUUUUCAUAUAAGUUACAAAUAAAGAGCCACAAGAUUACAAUAAAAAAUUGUGGAUGUAGAGCUGCUGAUGUUGCAACGUGGGAGUCUAAAGGGUUUGUGGAAUAUAUGGGUGAAGGUUGUUUAUUUAUACCUUCAUGCUUAUUUGCCUCAUUCCCUUAUCCUUUUCCUUUCCUUUCCCCUUAUCUUUAAAUGUUGGAUAGUGCUAUACCAUAUGAACCCUAUAGACUGGAUCGCCUCUUUGUAUGUCAUGACUCUUCGCAAGGCUUUAGAUCUGAAAGCUGCUAACAUCAACCUUAGGAUCUGUUUUAAACAACAGCAAAAAAGAGAGACCCAAAUCCUUUUAGCCUGU